rnacentral:rRNA from 1 species
CCUACGGGAGGCAGCAGUGAGGAAUAUUGGUCAAUGGACGAGCGUCUGAACCAGCCAAGUAGCGUGAAGGAUGACUGCCCUAUGGGUUGUAAACUUCUUUUAUAUGGGAAUAAAAUGUUCCACGUGUGGGAUUUUGUAUGUACCAUAUGAAUAAGGAUUGGCUAACUCCGUGCCAGCAGCCGCGGUAAUACGGAGGAUCCGAGCGUUUUUCGGAUUUAUUGGGUUUAAAGGGGGCGUAGGUGGAUUGUUAAGGCAGUUGUGAAAGUUUGCGGCUCAACCGUAAAAUUGCAGUUGAAACUGGCAGUCUUGAGUACAGUAGAGGUGGGCGGAAGUCGUGGUGUAGCGGUGAAAUGCUUAGAUAUCACGAAGAACUCCGAUUGCGAAGGCAGUUCACUGGACUGCAACUGACACUGAGGCUCGAAAGUGUGGGUAUCAAACAGGAUUAGAUACCCGGGUAGUC